rnacentral:lncRNA from 1 species
GUGCUUAAUCUCUUUUUAUUGUUUUAAACAGAUUUUUCACAGUCCUGGGGAUGGAAUGCGAAUGUCACUACUGUAUAUCAGCGAUCAGAGAUUUGGCCUCUUCAGCAAAGUUGGGAGAAAAACAGCCCUGAUAGCCAACUUCUGGCUGGAAAAACCUUUUAAAAGACUUAUCAGAACCUCCACUUAAGAUGGUGAUAUGAAAGGUCCUAAAGAAUGCAGCACUUCCACAAACAUUGCAAGAAAGGUUUUUUGUGAUCAUCCUGUUUGUCAUUUAUUAUGGCACAACAGCAUUUUAUUAAAAGCAUGUGCCGUGAGUUGUUCAGCCAUUCCCCAGCUGGUGAAUAUCCCUUCAGUUUCCAGUUCUUUGCUACCACAGGGGGAGUUGCUAUAAAUAUUUUUGUACAGGUCACAAACUGUCACAGGAUGGAGUUCCUUUGGUCAAAAAAACCCAGAGCUCAAAAUUUGCACAAUAACAAGUGCCAAGGAAAUCUAAAUUCAGAUGACUCUUCAGAAACAUGUCCAAAUACCUGGAGAGGUCCUUCGGAUAUAACUGAACCAAACUACUUGGAAGGUUUACAUAGAAAAUUCAGGAUUUUAUGACAUAUUGACAAGGAUUUUGCAAUAUUCCCAAAUUCACUAGAAAAAAAUCAUUAUUGCUUCAAGCAAUUUGUAAAUCUGGAAAAAAAAUUACAAUGUGAUCUACCUAAAUUGAGAUGUGUCAUUUGUAUUUCAUACUAUAGCAAAGUCCCAAGAGGGAUUAUUUUUUAGCGGGGGAUUUCCCUCUGUCAAUAGAAUUUUAUAGUUAAGAUGAGCAAAAGGUGGAUAUUUGGAAAUCAGGUGAAAGGGGAAAGGACUAGGUAAAUAUAUCA